rnacentral:rRNA from 1 species
GGGGAAUUUUGGACAAUGGGGGCAACCCUGAUCCAGCAAUGCCGCGUGAGUGAAGAAGGCCUUCGGGUUGUAAAGCUCUUUUGUCAGGGAAGAAACGGUCCGGGCUAAUAUCCUGGGCUAAUGACGGUACCUGAAGAAUAAGCACCGGCUAACUACGUGCACGCAGCCGCGGUAAUACGUAGGGUGCAAGCGUUAAUCGGAAUUACUGGGCGUAAAGCGUGCGCAGGCGGUUGUGCAAGACAGAUGUGAAAUCCCCGGGCUCAACCUGGGAAUUGCAUUUGUGACUGCACGGCUAGAGUGUGCCAGAGGGGGGUAGAAUUCCACGUGUAGCAGUGAAAUGCGUAGAGAUGUGGAGGAAUACCGAUGGCGAAGGCAAUCCCCUGGGCCUGCACUGACGCUCAUGCACGAAAGCGUGGGGAGCAAAC